CGGCCUCGGCGGACACGCAGCAGGGCCCCCGCGGGGCGGCGCUGCGGGUCGAGUCCGGGCCCGGUGGUGGGCGCCGGACGGUGCAGCGACGGGCCCGCGGGGCCGGCUGACGUGCACCCAGGGCCGGGCGUCCGCAGCGGUUACCCACUCGGUUCUGCAUGGAGCCAGCUCUGCACACCCGCGGGGAGACAGCCUGCCUGACUGGCAUCAUUGGGUGAGCUCUGAGAUGUCAGGGCCUGAGACAUGAAAUAGUCACGUGGUUGAAAAGGGCUUGAGGUCUCCUUUCUAACACUAACAUUCGAUGGCCUGGAUGUACCUCUGCUUGCUUGCUGAAGGAGUUCAUGGUUUCUUCCAAGUACCUGUCAUUAUGAUUACAGCUACUGUAAACAUCUGUGUGCAAGCUCGUAUGGACACAAUGCUCUCUGUUAGGUAAAUACAAAAGUCUGGUUGCUG